rnacentral:rRNA from 1 species
CAUUGAUACUGUUGUUCUUGAGUUCGGCUGAGGUAGGCGGAAUGAGUAAUGUAGCGGUGAAAUGCUUAGAUAUUACUCAGAACACCGAUUGCGUAGGCAGCUUACCAAACCGACACUGACGCUGAGGCACGAAAGCGUGGGGAGCGAACAGGAUUAGAUACCCUGGUAGUCCACGCCGUAAACGUUGAUUACUCGUUGUUGGCAAUACAUCGUCAGCGACUGAGCGAAAGCAUUAAGUAAUCCACCUGGGGAGUACGUCAGCAAUGAUGAAACUCAAAGGAAUUGACGGGGGCCCGCACAAGCGGAGGAACAUGUGGUUUAAUUCGAUGAUACGCGAGGAACCUUACCUGGGCUUAAAUGUAGAGUGCAUAGAGUGGAAACAUUCUUUUCCUUCGGGACUCUUUACAAGGUGCUGCAUGGUUGUCGUCAGCUCGUGCCGUGAGGUGUCGGGUUAAGUCCCAUAACGAGCGCAACCCUCAUUGCCAGUUGCCAUCACAUCAUGGUGGGGACUCUGGUGAAACUGCCGGUGCAAACCGUGAGGAAGGUGAGGAUGACGUCAAAUCAGCACGGCCCUUAUGUCCAGGGCUACACACGUGUUACAAUGGUCGGUACAACGGGCAGCUACACAGCGAUGUGGUGCUAAUCCUAAAAACCGAUCUUAGUUCGGAUCGGAGUCUGCAACUCGACUCCGUGAAGCUGGAUUCGC